UUGUAAUUCAUAGAAAUUUCUUAAAAUGAUUGCCAUCAUCCAUGAUCAUAUCUCAAUAUCCAUGAACACAUUCGCUAGUAAUUGGCUUAUUCUCGAUUGGCCAGGAAAAAACAAGGAUAAUUCCAAAUUUCUCAAUGAUCUGAAAAAUAUUGCCACUGUACAUGAAUCAAAUAAAGUUUCCCAUAAUGCAUUGUAGUGAAGUGAUGCAAACCUCGACAAAGCAAUCAUAGAAGAUGCGAAGCUUGCAGCGGCGGCCGUCGUCGGGGCUUCAAGCAAUUUUUGAGAGACCACGUUGUGAACUAUUCUCUCCGCAUUUGGGCAGCUCUCCUUAUAAAAAUCAGCUCAAGGAAGAGAUAGAAGAAGCUGAGCCAUUGGAAAUCGACAAGAAGAAGAGAAGCAGGAAGAUAAAGUAGAUCAAGGCCUGUCAUAAUAUUAAACUAGAAGUUGGAAUGUCUCAUCUUGAAAGGCUAAUUUAUAGGGAGGAAAAGACUAAAAGAGAGAUGCAAACAAUGAGAGAAUGGAAGAAGAAGAGAGAGAGAGAGCCAACGUUUCCUCCUUAGGCAAAGAUUGCAAUGGUGAUUUUUUCAUAUUCUUCUUUUCCUUCUCUUUUUUGAGCCCUCACUACACCUAAG
rnacentral:lncRNA from 1 species